AUACGUAGGGGGCGAGCGUUGUCCGGAAUGAUUGGGCGUAAAGGGCGCGUAGGCGGCGCGGUAAGUCUGGAGUGAAAGUCCUGCUUUCAAGGUGGGAAUUGCUUUGGAUACUGCCGCGCUUGAGUGCAGGAGAGGUUAUCGGAAUUCCCGGUGUAGCGGUGAAAUGCGUAGAGAUCGGGAGGAACACCAGUGGCGAAGGCGGGUAAGAGGGCUGCAUCUGACGCUGAGGCGCGAAAGUGUGGGGAGCAAACAGGAUUAGAUACCCUGGUAGUCCACACUGUAAACGAUGAAUGCUAGGUGUAAGAGGUAUCGACCCCUUCUGUGCCGCAGGCAACACAAUAAGCAUUCCGCCUGGGGAGUACGGCCGCAAGGUUGAAACUCAAAUGAAUUGACGGGG
rnacentral:rRNA from 1 species